GACAGAGGGUGCAAACGUUGUUCGGAAUUACUGGGCGUAAAGCGAGUGUAGGCGGUCUGCUAAGUCGGGUGUGAAAGCCCUGGGCUCAACCCAGGAAGUGCACUCGAAACUGGCGGGCUAGAGUAUCGGAGAGGUUGGUGGAAUUCUCGGUGUAGAGGUGAAAUUCGUAGAUAUCGAGAGGAACACCGGUGGCGAAGGCGGCCAACUGGACGAAUACUGACGCUGAGGAGCGAAAGCGUGGGGAGCGAACAGG
rnacentral:rRNA from 1 species